AAAUUUAAAUCAGAAAAUGGUUGUCAUGUUUGAUUAAAUAUGACAUUAAAAGGGAAUUUGGUGCAAAUCCGAAACUGUCCCGCAGCUGUAAGCUCAUUAACUGAAACCCUUUAAUAUGUCACUUUUCAAUUUGAAAGGGAAGGCUGGGUGUAGGGAGCAAGUCAGAAGACCUGCCAUUUUUAUAGUAAUAACA
rnacentral:ncRNA from 18 species